UUCCUUCUACCCAAUGAUCUCUGUAAAUCUUGAUCGAUCGAUCGAUGUUUACCUGAAUCAGACACAGGUUCGCACGGAACCUCAGGGUCGAUUCUCAGGAUGUCUGGUGUUCCUUACAGGAAGAAGGAAGCGCGCGGAUCGAUCUCGGAAUAAACGAGCCCGAGUAACGGUGCCUGGAUGAGCGUGCCGGUGAAACUCGACCGUAGUUUAACUUCAAAGGUCGCUGCUGGUUGCUUCUUCGAAGAAAGCGAUCCGAUGGAGAACGAAGCAGAUCCAUGAAAUUGCAUCGGUUCAGAUAACCAAGGUUUCCCGAGAUCGGUUGAAUCGAAGCGACUGGUCGAGAUUGAAGAAAAAACGGCACGAACUAAACAACAUCGAAGAGGAAGAAGACUAUUCGAGAGAAGCUCCAGCAGCCGAGCGAAAGUCAAGCCCCAGGCCCAUGGAUUCCCCUUCUUCAUUUACGACCCUGCAACAUUACUAUCCGAGAAACUCGGAUACAAGAGCCUCGUUGGACGCUGCUAAUCUAUGUUCAACGUAAUGACUGUCGCUGAGGUUAUCGGUGACUGGCGCCACCAAUUUAAUGCAAAAGGAUUGGAGAAAACUUGGAAACUCAAUAAUAAUUCUAACAACUUUUAAUCCAGAGUUUUCAAGACACGUAUUUAAUUUACAAUAUUUUUCGCACGAAUGCCAUGCAAAAUAUUUUACCUCGAUUCAAAGGGUAAUCUUAAGACGAGAUGCAACCUCGCUCCACCUUCGCAUUUGCUUUCUCUCGUUCGAUUCGUUUCAAUACGAGUAGAGAGAUAAAUUGUUGGACGACAAACGGUGGCACGAUGCGCCAUACAUUACAGGGGUCUGUCAUUAUCAUUAAUCCUUCCAAAGAUUUAACGUCUGUCGCCUGAGCAUCGAUAUUUCAAUAUCCCAAACGAACAUGUCUGUUUCGUCAAAGGAAAUAACUCACGGGGACAUCUCAGAAUAUUUGAACGAAACAGCAGACAGGCGACACCACGGUACUAGUUCUCCGUGUAGACGCGAGAAAAUGCUUCGCAGCGACGACUGCCCGUCGCGGACACGCGAGCGGAGAACGCGGGAAUCCGACCGGAAACGGGGCGAACAGAAGAAAGGAAAGAAGCCGCAGGAUGACAGGAACGGUGGAUCGGAGCGUGUCGGGAAGUGGGUCGAAAGUUCACGAGACGGAUAAUUAAAUUCUAUGUCGAAGAAAGCGUUUUCCGUCUCGUUUCGUCAUCAUCGUCGAUGGAUCAGGAUGGACAGCGUCCGAUAUCGUCUCAUACUUUUAUUCUUCUUGUGUAGGAUGAACACGAUAAUGAUGUUUGCAGAAAUGAUUACUAGUGAUGGAAUCGAAUUAUGAUAAUUUUUAUUUUAUU